rnacentral:lncRNA from 1 species
CCAAAUUUAUUUAUAUAAGAAUGUUGUCUAGGUACACAUGAAUCUGUCAAACUGUAUUUUUGAAAGAUCAAACAAUUUAGUUAGAUUUAUUCGCAUUGUGCUGCUUGUCCCUAUUGGAUUGCUUGAAACACGAAGAAAAUCAUUAUAACCAAAACGAACAUAACGAAUUAUCAAAAAAAAAGUAAAGGAUCUCACCAAUUCUAAGCAUAUCCAGUGUAUGCAUUUAUUGAAUGUUCUACUAUAAAAAUAUAAACUUGAGCUAGCAAGAAAGUGUAUGUCAGCUGCCGAAUAUCGGUGACAAUAUAUAAAGCAACUUCAUGCACAAAACACGGUCUUGCUGGUUGAAAUUAAAAAGAAAAUUGUGUAAAAAAUAUUGAAAAAGAUAAAUGAGGAC